rnacentral:tRNA from 1 species
GAUCUCGUAGCUCAGCCGGUAGAGCAUUUGACUUUUAAUCAAAGGGUCUCAGGUUCGAAUCCCGACGAGAUCA